rnacentral:rRNA from 1 species
GAUGAACGCUGGCGGCGUGCUUAACACAUGCAAGUCGAACGGAAAGGCCCAAGCUUGCUUGGGUACUCGAGUGGCGAACGGGUGAGUAACACGUGGGUGAUCUGCCCUGCACUUCGGGAUAAGCCUGGGAAACUGGGUCUAAUACCGGAUAGGACCACUUCUUGGAUGUUGUGGUGGAAAGUUUUUUCGGUGUGGGAUGAGCUCGCGGCCUAUCAGCUUGUUGGUGGGGUAAUGGCCUACCAAGGCGUCGACGGGUAGCCGGCCUGAGAGGGUGUACGGCCACAUUGAGACUGAGAUACGGCCCAGACUCCUACGGGAGGGAGCAGUGGGGAAUAUUGCACAAUGGGCGCAAGCCUGAUGCAGCGACGCCGCGUGGGGGAUGACGGCCUUCGGGUUGUAAACUCCUUUCGCUAGGGACGAAGCGUUUUGUGACGGUACCUGGAGAAGAAGCACCGGCUAACUACGUG